GACAGAGGUGCCGAGCGUUAGGCGGAAUCACUGGGCUUAAAGCGUGUGUAGGCGGAUCGUUAAGUCAGAGGUGAAAGCCCAGGGCUCAACCUUGGAAUUGCCUUUGAUACUGGCUGUCUUGAGUUCGGGAGAGGUGAGUGGAACUGCGAGUGUAGAGGUGAAAUUCGUAGAUAUUCGCAAGAACACCAGCGGCGAAGGCGGCUCACUGGCCCGAUACUGACGCUGAGGCACGAAAGCGUGGGGAGCAAACAGG
rnacentral:rRNA from 1 species